rnacentral:tRNA from 1 species
GGGGCUGUAGCUCAUUGGUAGAGCGCCCGCCUCACACAUGUGAGGCAUUGGGUUCAAUCCUCAGCACCA